rnacentral:rRNA from 1 species
AGGACGAACGCUGGCGGCGUGCUUAACACAUGCAAGUCGAACGAAGCUCCCGGGCUUGCCUGGGAUGACUGAGUGGCGAACGGGUGAGUAACACGUGGGCAACCUGCCCCAGACUCUGGGAUAACACCGAGAAAUCGGUGCUAAUACCGGAUACGACAACUUCGGACAUCCGAUGGUUGUGGAAAGUUUUUCGGUCUGGGAUGGGCCCGCGGCCUAUCAGCUAGUUGGUGGGGUAAUGGCCUACCAAGGCGACGACGGGUAGCCGGCCUGAGAGGGCGACCGGCCACACUGGAACUGAGACACGGUCCAGACUCCUACGGGAGGCAGCAGUGGGGGAAUAUUGCACAAUGGGCGAAAGCCUGAUGCAGCGACGCCGCGUGAGGGACGAAGGCCUUCGGGUUGUAAACCUCUUUCAGCAGGGACGAAGCGAAAGUGACUGUACCUGCAGAAGAAGCACCGGCUAACUACGUGCCAGCAGCCGACGU